rnacentral:rRNA from 1 species
CAUGGCUGUCGUCAGCUCGUGUCGUGAGAUGUUGGGUUAAGUCCGCACGAGCGCAACCCUACGUUAGUUGCUAACAGUGAAGCUGAGCACUCUAGACGAACUGCCGUUGACAAAACGGAGGGAAGGUGGGGAGUGACGUCAAUCAUCAUGCCCUUAUGUUCUGGGCUACACACGUGCUACAAUGGCCGGUACAGACGGAGGCGAAGCCGCGAGGCGGAGCAAAUCCGAAAAAGCCGGUACUCAGUUCGGAUUGCAGGCUGCAAUUCGCCUGCAUGAAGUCGGAAUCGCUAGUAAUCGCAGGUCAGCAUACUGCGGUGAAUACGUUCCCGGGCCUU